GACGAACGCUGGCGGCGUGCUUAACACAUGCAAGUCGAACGGAAAGGCCCUGCUUUUGUGGGGUGCUCGAGUGGCGAACGGGUGAGUAACACGUGAGUAACCUGCCCUUGACUUUGGGAUAACUUCAGGAAACUGGGGCUAAUACCGGAUAGGAGCUCCUGCCGCAUGGGGGGGGUUGGAAAGUUUCGGCUGUUGGGGAUGGACUCGCGGCUUAUCAGCUUGUUGGUGGGGUAGUGGCUUACCAAGGCUUUGACGGGUAGCCGGCCUGAGAGGGUGACCGGCCACAUUGGGACUGAGAUACGGCCCAGUCUCCUACGGGCGGCAGCAGUGGGGAAUCUUGCGCAAUGGGCGGAAGCCUGAUGCAGCAGCGCCGCGUGCGGGAUGACGGCCUUCGGGUUGUAAACCGCUUUCGCCUGUGCCGAAGCGUGAGUGACGGUAAUGGGUAAAGAAGCACCGGCUAACUACGUG
rnacentral:rRNA from 1 species